GCCCGGGUAGCUCAUGGUAGAGCACGGACUCUUAAUCUCGGGGCGUGGGUUCGACCCACGUUGGGCG